AGAGCUCAAGACGAAGCAGCAGCACCACUCAAAGCGCCAUGAGCCAGCCGAUGGGCGGUUUCCGUCCUCCUCAGCGCUUCAUGAGGGCCUGGUCGACGGCCACCUCCCACGACGAUAGCGACGACUGGUUCCAGCCGAACAGGAAUCACUUCAGGAUGGCGGGAUCGAAUAGCCCGGGUGGUGCAACGCGUCUUCCACUGCUCCUGAGAGCAUCCACUUUUUCGGAGAGUGACGAAUCUCCCUGAGGGCACGAGAUAAGAACCGCUCCCCCCCCCCCCCCCCCCCCCCCCCCCCCCCCCCCCCCCCCCCCCCCCCCCACCCCCAAGUUUACGGAAGAUCCCAACCGCGCCAGUGUACCUACGAAAGAUAAAUACGUCGCUAUCAUCACAUGGGCGAUCUUAAACCUACACCUAAAAUUAAACUACUUCAGUGGAUGGAGGACAUUCCCUGGUGUUACGAAAACGCUGAUGAACUUGGAACCUGGUUGACUGAUUUCUUAUUAGACUCAACAAAAAGUUUUUUUUUCAUAUCAGUGGAAAUUAGUUUCACAGACGUGUCUGUGCAUCAGUCAGUAUGUGUAACUGCAUCAACUGUUUGUGUGGUGCGUUUGUGAGCAUGUGUGUAACUGUAUUUAAGAGAGGGUAAUUGCGUCUGUUUAUUAUAAACAUCUGUAACUUAAGUAUAAAAACCUAAUUUAA